ACUGGGCAUGGUGGUGCACACCUGUAAUCCUAGCAGCUCGGGAGGCUGAGGCAGGAGGAUCACAAGUUCGAGGUCAGCCUCAGCAAAUUAGUGAGGUCCUUAGCAACUUAGUGAGACCCUGACUCAA
rnacentral:sRNA from 1 species